rnacentral:rRNA from 1 species
GAUGAACGCUGACAGAAUGCUUAACACAUGCAAGUCUACUUGAUUCUACUUCGGUAGUUGAUGGUGGCGGACGGGUGAGUAACGCGUAAAGAAUCUGCCCUUUAGUUUGGGAUAACCUUUGGAAACGAAGGCUAAUACCGGAUAUUAUCGAGACGUCGCAUGGCGACUCCAUGACAGCUAUAUGCGCUAGAGGAGGACUUUACGUCCCAUUAGUUAGUUGGUGAGGUAAUGGCUCACCAAGACCGCGAUGGGUAGCCGGCCUGAGAGGGUGAUCGGCCACAAGGGAACUGAGACACGGUCCUUACUCCUACGGGAGGCAGCAGUGGGGAAUAUUGGACAAUGGGCCACAAGCCUGAUCCAGCAAUUCUGUGUGCACGAUGAAGGUCUUCGGACUGUAAAGUGCUUUCAGUAGGGAAGAAAAAAUGACGGUACCUACAGAAGAAGCGACGGCUAAAUAUGUGCCAGCAGCCGCGGUAAAAC